ACCUUAGAAAUCAACUAAGUUUGUUCUGGGUAUAAGCUUUUGUGUGCAUGUACACUUCUUCAGAUACAUGCAUUCUUCAGAUGCAUGCACACGAAAGCUUAUACCCAGAACAAACUUAGUUGGUCUCUAAGGU